AGGAGGUGGAUUGUUGGAUCAGAGGGGAAAGGUAAAACCAGGAAACAUUCAUGAGAAUUGGGUCUUUGCAAGCUGCAUGGAAGGGUUAGGGUGCUGACAGCAUAAGAUCACAACAUUUCCCUGCUGCUUUCACAAAGGAAAGUAGUUAAGGGGGAGAGCAGGCACAAGGCACAUGGGCACUUCAAGGUUUCCAAGAGGUGCUUACUUUCCUCCGCUGGAGAGACUUUAAUAAUUCAACAUUAAGGCAAUGAAGGAUGUAUGAAGAACUCAAGCAGUGUAAACCAGGCAGGUAUUAACCUGAAUUCUUUUAAGACAAGCAAUGCUGAAAUCCAAAGAGCACUGAAAGACCGUUUAAGUUAUGGGAGAAGUGUAGGUAAUGCAAAAGAGACUGGAAAACAAGCUAAUAAAAGCACCCUAUGUGCCAGAGGAAUAAAAAGAAACUGUAACUAACAUGCUACUGAAGAACUCAGGUAGCCUCCAUUUGGUACUCCUCUGGUAUCCUGCAAGCUUAGGAGGCUCAUUUUCAGAGUUCACAGUACAGAACUCAAAUGAAGGUCAGUAAACACUCUGGGUACAUAACCUUUCUGAGAAGCUGGUCCUAAAUGGUCCAGGAAGACUAAGGCAUUAGACAUUAAUUAAACCCCUUAGUUCCAGGAUGGCCUUUCAACACAAGAAACAUUCCUUUGUUGAUUCACACAGCCUCAGAAAAACAUAAAUAUUUGUCAAGCUUAUCACAUUCAUGGCAGUAGUGUAUAGUGCUUGCUCCAGCACACACAGUCUUAAUAUAAUGACAUGGUAAUGCUUAUGAAAGAGCAGUUUUGUGGUGUAAUUAUAAAUCAGAUUUUAUGCUGUUGUCAACCCUGGCUCAAAUCUCUAAAUUUAGAAAAGUCAUUUAAAGUACCAUGGGCUUCCACUUCAAACAAAAAUCAGCAUGAUAAUCACAUGCACUCCAGCAGGAGUGUCAUGACACUAGCAAAAUUGAUGUUUGUAGGUAGCUUGAAAAAACUUUGGAAAGUUGGUGUUAAGCAUUACUUUGGUUUGGUAUUUUAGAUUCUGUCCUUGUUCAUUACCUCAGUCAUGAGUUCUGUGGUACCCUUGUACUUUGGCAGACAAGGAACCUUAUCAGUGGUUUCUAAGCACUGUCUCAGCACAGCAAUUACACAGAUACAGAAAAGUUCCAUGGCUGUCAUUUUAGGAGAUGAGGCUUCAACAGCUGUCAGGUUUUAUUUUGUUAUGCCAUCUAUUGCAGGUCUCUGUUGUGAGGGUGCAGCAGUCCUCUCAAUGGUGGCACCCAAAGCACUGAUCAAACCCAGCUGAAAGUACUCACUCAGUCCUACAUACUAAACAGUUCUGAUACACUAUUACACUGAGAUCAUAUUAUAAACUACAGUGUUUAUAAUAUGAUGUCAGACAGGGUUGCAUUGGUUACAGCCAGCCUGGUGUUCACAAAGAGUGGGAAAGAAUGGGGAGGCCAAGCAAUGCCCUGCUUGUCACUGCUUCCAGAAUUCCCAUGCCAAGGAAGAGUGGUCUGGGGGUGUGGCAGCCUUUGCAUCAACGACUCACUAAGGCAGCCACUAAUACCUUUCACUAUUACACCUGAACAGGAAUGAUCCAUUCCUAGAAUGUAGCUAUAGGUGGGACAAAAAGUAACUUACAUUACUUCUACAAUAAAGUAAAAUAUUAACACACAUAAA